ACUUAAUUUAUAAAUGAAACUUUACCAUAGGUAUGGUAUGUAUAAGAAAAAACAUAGCAUAUUAGGGUUCAGUACUCUCCGUGGUUUCAGGCAUCCACUGAGGGUCUUGGAAUGUAUCCCCCACAGAUAAGGAAGAACUACAUUGCAUUUCAUAUAUUGCAUUUCACUAUAUUGCAUUUCACUGAGAACCUUCACUGUAUAGCUUACACGGUAGUUGAGAAUGUGGAAUUUGCAUUCAAAGCCUAGAUUUUUACCAUCGAUGGUCUAUGUGAUCUUGACCAUAACAUAACCUUGACACUCAUUUUCUCAUGUGUAAAAAUGACCAACCUCUCCGCACUGAGGUGAGCAUUAAAGAGGCAAAAAUCUUGGAAAGCUACCACUGGAAUUGUUGUAAGUAGAGGAAGAAGGAUUUCCUGGGAAUCAGGGUCCAGAGUGCAGACUCCUAAAAAAUUAGACAGUGUUGCAGUUUCUCACCCAUUUCUCCUUUUUUUUUUUUUUCCAGACACAAUCAUCUUAGGAAAACCUGUGAUAAUUGUUUCAGAACACUUUUCAUUUUUCUCCCUAGUUAAUAUAUAAGUGCUAUAUAUUCCUGGAAUUCACUCAAACAGGAGCAAUCACAACCACCUAGACACCGAGUGAAAUCCCCAUCUGUCAGUACUUAGGAAAGCAGAUCUAGGGGCAGGAUACCUGAGUCCCCAUGCCAGCACUGCACUUAUUAGCUAUGUGGCCGCUUUGUGCCAGUUUCCUCAACCGUAAAAUCAGAGAGUAAUAUUAUCUACCUCAUAGGGUUGUUGUAAAGAUUUCAAAUAACUAAUACGUGUAAAGUGCUUUAAAAAGUGGCACAUACUAUCAGGAAGUAUCAGUAUCAUCAGCAGCAUCAUUAUCAUUAUUUGUCUUCAGGAUCGCACUCUGCCACGAGACAGGAACUGGUGGGCAGGGGACCCCCAUCCCCAGCCUACAGUGUAAAGAUAACAGAGUUAGGCUUAUUCAUGUCAUCUCCUCUGAUCAUAAACCCCGUAUCUCCAUAUUAUGCCCGUAGGGGUUUUGCUGAGAGACUUGAAAUUUAAAUAAGAUUGAGCAAUGUUGUGCUGGGGCAGGGGAUUUUUCUUGAACUAUUUACACUGGUACGAAAUUUAACACCUAGCCUGCUGGUACACUUGAAUACUCCAUCCGCUGUCAGGUCUUGCCUUCUGGCACCACCAGAAUAAUGCAAUGUUCUGAGCUGUGGUCAGCAGGACUUCUGUUUAUCUUCUUUUAAUGUAUCCCAGCUGUGCAUAACUGUCAUGUUUUCAAGCUACCCAGCACCUUCCAAAUACUCUCAGGAUGUUUCAGAAAUUGGCAGCCACAUGGACCUGGCUUCAUCAGAGCAGAAUCCAGAAAACUCAAAUUCCCAGACUUCCUUGCAGCUAAGACACAAGCUCUGGGACUACAUUUUGCCAACGAGUCACGUGCUCCUGACUCUUUGGUUUAAAAACAAGCAACUUAAGGAAACAAGCUUUGGGAGGAGUCCAUUUUGUUUGUUUUGAUGGGAGCAGAGGCAUCCAGUAAUCAGGAGCAGCUUGCCUAGGGAUUUCCUCCGGUGCUCAGUGGGCAGCAGAAGUUACAGUUUGCUCAUCAGGCUGGUUCUGAUGCAUGCUUUAGAUGGUUCCCAUCUGGAGCCUCUGCUAGGAAGAACUGAAGAGUGACUCAUGACUGGGAGUUGGAAUCCUCUGGAGGCCCCCUUUCCCUUGAUCAUCUCUGUUGCUUAGCCUGACCUAUGCAAGGACUAGGACUACUGACUGGAGGUCUUUGCUCCCUUACAAAAUACUGCCUCAGGGUAAUCAGACUUGUCACUUGUCAGUGGAAUUAUAAACAAAGGGGAUGAUGGUACAUUGGCUUUCAUGGAGCAUCUUGGAAGAUGUAUACCCUAUGGUUAAUUCCAGCAUACUCCACUGGCCAAAGCAGUCACGAGCCUGCCCAGAAGCAAGGGGAGGAGAAUUAGACUCCAUCUCCUAAUGGGGAAGUGGCAAAGCCACACCGUAGAAGAGCAUGUGGGAUAACAGGUGUUGUUGCAUCCGUUUUUGGAAAAUAAAAUCUGCCACGGUGAUGUUGGGAAAAUGGAUUUAGAAUCUAAGUGUUGAUUAAAGGAUGUCUAGGAGUCACAAUCAGACAUUUAAACUGCUGGGGUACUUUGAGGUUUGAUGUCAUUUUAAUACUCUUUAUCUGGCAUCAAUCCCAAAAGGAUAAGUUGACUUUCUCAAUUUUGCUUUCUAUUUUUCACCCAUCAGUACAUAAUUUGAGUAUGGAAUACUUGUCUGGAAGAAUCUGGUGACUACCUAUAUUCUGAAUACUAAAAUAUCUAAGUAGUCCAAAUUCAUACAUAGUUUGUGUUUUCUUCCAGCUUAUCAUAAGUCCCUGGUGCUAUGGUUCCUCUGCAAAACAGUUAAAGAUCCCUUGAAAAAUCUUGUUUUGCUUUCACAGAAAUGUCAUGAAUAUAAAGUCCUUUUGAUGAUAAAAGGAAUUUUGUGAUGCUCAGGUAUUUCCUUUAGUUUUAUAGAUGGAAGAUGGUGUUGAUAAUGGCACGAUAAUUUAUAUCAGACUCACUGAGCAGAUCAUUGCAACUGAGUUUUUCACUGAAAAAUUCAAUUACAUUUCUCUACAUUUUAACACCACUGCCAAAGGAUGCACUGAAAUCUUUCCUAACUCCCUUCUAGACACAAAAAAAAAAAAAAAAAAAAAUGUUCUGCCACAAAGAGUCUCUUAAGAUUCUUGAAGGACAUUUCUCCUUGUCAGUAUGUAUUCUGGGGGAGAACUAUGCUGUUUCAAGAUACAGGCUCAUCAGUUAUUCUCUCGGUAAAUGUAAAAGCUUUGACUGGCUGAUUGCAAAGACAACACCUGAGAGCGAUUACUCUUAAUGUAUCAAACCUUUCCAGAAGAAAAUAUAUCCACCAUUUUUAAAAUGUCAUGUGUAUUUGUUCCUCAAGUCUAGGGCUUAAGUCUUACCCAUUGAUGCCCAGUUCAGUACAUUUAUGUAGUGUUUGUUCAACAACCGCCUAUAGGCAAGAAUUUUAUGAUUGCACAUUACUUCCAUGUACACAUAGUUCAUACUACAAUACUGACUUUUUAAAUAUUUGGCUAGGAUCUUCAAUUUUUAACUUCUGAUGGCUGACAUUCCAUGAGAUAAUCAUCAUAUUCAUAUUUUAAGGUAUUACACUUCAUGCAUACAUACCUUGUCUCUAUGCUACAAAGUCAAAUCCAUGAAGACAGGAACUAUGUCUAUACUAUAUAUUUCCUGCACCUAACAUAGUGCCUCAUACAGAGUAGCAUUCAA